ACGGAAGGCAGCAGUGGGGAAUAUUGCACAAUGGGGGAAACCCUGAUGCAGCGACGCCGCGUGAGUGAAGAAGUAUUUCGGUAUGUAAAGCUCUAUCAGCAGGGAAGAAAAUGACGGUACCUGACUAAGAAGCCCCGGCUAACUACGUGCCAGCAGCCGCGGUAAUACGUAGGGGGCAAGCGUUAUCCGGAUUUACUGGGUGUAAAGGGAGCGUAGACGGUUCUGCAAGUCUGAUGUGAAAGGCAGGGGCUCAACUACUGGACUGCAUUGGAAACUGUAGAACUAGAGUGCCGGAGAGGUAAGCGGAAUUCCUAGUGUAGCGGUGAAAUGCGUAGAUAUUAGGAGGAACACCAGUGGCGAAGGCGGCUUACUGGACGGUAACUGACGUUGAGGCUCGAAAGCGUGGGGAGCAAACAGGAUUAGAUACCCUGGUA
rnacentral:rRNA from 1 species